UUUAUUAAUGUUUUAUAUUUGUUACAGGGGGGUUCUUGGCACUACAGCUAUUGCUCGCUGACCCCCCUGGUGUUCAAAAGAAUAAACUUAUCAUCUAUAUAAUAAAACAAGACAUUCGUAACUGUGUUCCCUACAGCCGGCCAAACGGCUAGACCGAAUGGGCUGAAAUUUUAUGAGGGAACACAGGGGUAGCCCGGAGGUAACAAAAGCUAAAAAAAAUUUUAUUUACAUUUUUUAUAGAAAACAGAAAAAUAUACACCCCUUGGUUGUUCAUAAACAAACGCAACCGAAACUGGACUUGAACCGAAACAUGAAAUUGAACCCAGUAUUCAAUCCUUAUUCCUUAGUCGCAGUCCAAAGUUAUAAAGUUUAAAGAUAACAUAGAGCGAGGUAAAUCAAUUCAUUAUUUUAAGUAUUUAUUAAAAAACCCUCUACUUCUCUUAUGUCGAAACUGUAAAUUAUUGUUUCGACAUAACCCUAAUUAAAUUGAAUGUAAACAGACCGAUAAACCAGUUUUAAGCCACCGAAACCGAGUUCAAAGUGUGUUCCAGAAUAAAUUUUAUAAACUCUUUAAUUGCCUACCUUUGACUAGAACCAACAUUUGAAAAUGAAAAUUGUAAAUAAUAAUCUGAAAAUAAAGUUUAAUAACUUCGAAGAUAAGAAAAUCAUGAUUUAAUAAGAAGCGAGGGAAAUGGUGGGGGUUACUAUUACUUUUGAAUUUUAAUACAAACAUGGGCAACGCGAGGUUCCCAAACCAGUAUACAAGGGUUAAAUAAAAAAUGGGACAAAAGUGACCAUACGUAAGUAAAAAGAAUUUAGCUCAAAUACAAUCAAAACUUGUCAUACGCAUUGAUAUGUAAAAAAACUUAGCUCAGAAAACAUUUUCUAUGACACAUUUUGUUUAACAUAAGUAAUACAGCAUUUUUUCCAAAUUCCCACAUGUUUUUACAACAAAAAUCGAUUUAGCUAAGUAAAAACGCGCGAAAUUUUUAGUGAAACUUCGCAACAUUUUCAAUUACUGUUGAAAGCAUUUUCAGUUACUGUUAGUUCAAAGUAAAAUGUUUACUCCCGAGGUCCUUGAAAUACUUCAAAUUUGUAUAUUUUGCUUGUUAGUUGCACUGAUAACAGGUUCUUUGGUUUACGGGUUCCUUUUGGAUAAGAAGGUUAGAAAAGUCAGAAACAUGUUGAAAUCUAGACCAACUCUUGUAAUAUUCAUUCAAAGACAGAAAUCAACUCGGCGCGGUGAGAGUGAAUCGACAGAGAAUCAGAUGAAAACUAAUUGAUUAGACCGAUUCAUGCAUCGACAUCAAGAAAUAAGUAAAAAAUGUGUUUAAUGCAAUUUUAAUCUUUUAAAAAUUAAAAUGGAAUUUCUUCCGUGUUCAAUAUCAAUAUCUAGAAUAUUUCAAUAAAAAUAUGUUAAAUGUUUUGUGUGUUUAAUUUCACUUAACCAAUUCUUAUUUAUUCCUGUACAACUUUACCAGGAAAAUAUUUGACCAAAACAUGCAAAAAAACUUUUUGCUUUCAAAAUAAAAAUGUCAAUUGUUAAAUAAUGAGAUGUUAUUAAAAACUUCAUAAUCUCUGACUUGUCCAUGAAGUUUCAGCAAAAAAACGGUAUUUAAUGAAGAAAAUGAAGGAAUGAAUAGAAUGACGAAUAUGACGAAGAUGACGAAAAAGAAGAA